UGAGGAAUAUUGGUCAAUGGGCGAGAGCCUGAACCAGCCAAGUCGCGUGAAGGAAGACAGUCCUAAGGAUUGUAAACUUCUUUUAUACGGGAAUAACGGGCGAUACGAGUAUUGCAUUGAAUGUACCGUAAGAAUAAGCAUCGGCUAACUCCGUGCCAGCAGCCGCGGUAAUACGGAGGAUGCGAGCGUUAUCCGGAUUUAUUGGGUUUAAAGGGUGCGUAGGUUGUUCGGUAAGUCAGCGGUGAAACCUGAGCGCUCAACGUUCAGCCUGCCGUUGAUACUGCCGGGCUUGAGUUCAGUGGCGGCAGGCGGAAUUCGUGGUGUAGCGGUGAAAUGCAUAGAUAUCGCGAGGAACUCCGAUUGCGAAGGCAGCUUGCCAUACUGCGACUGACACUGAAGCACGAAGGCGUGGGUAUCAAACAGG
rnacentral:rRNA from 1 species